AAGUCGUAACAAGGUUUCCGUAGGUGAACCUGCGGAAGGAUCAUUAACACGUUUUACCAUAAACGUCCCUAAACCAAACUCUGAGAACAUGAGGUCUGCUGUAUUCUUCUCUCACUCUCACUGUGGAGAAGAUAUAGCUGUUAAAGGCCUCGACUUUUUCCUAUUCUUUUAACCCCAAUAACAUUAGAUAAACUUUUCGGAGUUUUAUCUUAUGUGUUUUAUUCUUUUAAACACAAGAUUAGAAGAAAUUCUAAUCUUCAAAGGAUUUCAGACAUUUAAUGUUUGAUCUUCCUUAUGAACCAAAACGUUGAACAACUCUUAGCAACGGAUAUCUUGGUUCCC
rnacentral:misc_RNA from 1 species